GGGCACGCUGCUUGAGUGGCUCUUUUAUCUUUUUGGGAGGGCUGCCCAAAUCGCAAGGUAUUAGUUUUGAAUAAAUUGGUCUCAUCUUAUUAUCAAUCCAAAUGUACAAUAGAACUGAAAAUGCCAGCCGCAUAGACCACACAACUGCUGUCGCGACAGUAGAAUAAACUUCAGCAGGGAUGUUAUUCACAUUAUACACAUCAACAUUUACAAGUUGUUGAUGCAACUUCCUCCAAACAUCAUUCCAUCUA
rnacentral:misc_RNA from 1 species